UACGUAGGUGGCAAGCGUUGUCCGGAUUUACUGGGCGUAAAGAGCGCGCAGGCGGUCGUUCAAGUCGCGUGUGAAAGCCCCCGGCUCAACUGGGGAGGGUCACGCGAUACUGAUCGACUCGAAGGCAGGAGAGGGUAGUGGAAUUCCCGGUGUAGUGGUGAAAUGCGUAGAUAUCGGGAGGAACACCAGUGGCGAAAGCGACUUCCUGGACCAAUACUGACGCUCAUGUGCGAAAGCGUGGGGGGCAAACAGG
rnacentral:rRNA from 1 species